rnacentral:rRNA from 2 species
UACGGAGGGUGCAAGCGUUAUCCGGAAUCACUGGGCGUAAAGGGCGCGUAGGCGGUCUGUUAAGUCCGAUGUUAAAGGCUGGGGCUCAACCCCAGUAAAGCGUUGGAUACUGGCAGGCUAGACGGUUGGAGAGGCGAGUGGAAUUACCAGUGUAGCGGUGAAAUGCGUAGAUACUGGUAGGAACACCCAUGGCGAAGGCAGCUCGCUGGACAACCCGUGACGCUGAGGCGCGAAAGUGUGGGGAGCAAACCGG